CACAAUUCUUGGUACCUAACACU
rnacentral:piRNA from 1 species